rnacentral:rRNA from 1 species
GAGUUUGAUCCUGGCUCAGAUUGAACGCUAGCGGGAUGCCUUACACAUGCAAGUCGAACGGCAGCACGGACUUCGGUCUGGUGGCGAGUGGCGAACGGGUGAGUAAUGUAUCGGAACGUGCCCAGUAGCGGGGGAUAACUACGCGAAAGCGUAGCUAAUACCGCAUACGCCCUACGGGGGAAAGCAGGGGAUCGUAAGACCUUGCACUAUUGGAGCGGCCGAUAUCGGAUUAGCUAGUUGGUGGGGUAACGGCUCACCAAGGCGACGAUCCGUAGCUGGUUUGAGAGGACGACCAGCCACACUGGGACUGAGACACGGCCCAGACUCCUACGGGAGGCAGCAGUGGGGAAUUUUGGACAAUGGGGGAAACCCUGAUCCAGCCAUCCCGCGUGUGCGAUGAAGGCCUUCGGGUUGUAAAGCACUUUUGGCAGGAAAGAAACGUCAUGGGUUAAUACCCCGUGAAACUGACGGUACCUGCAGAAUAAGCACCGGCUAACUACGUGCCAGCAGCCGCGGUAAUACGUAGGGUGCAAGCGUUAAUCGGAAUUACUGGGCGUAAAGCGUGCGCAGGCGGUUCGGAAAGAAAGAUGUGAAAUCCCAGAGCUUAACUUUGGAACUGCAUUUUUAACUACCGGGCUAGAGUGUGUCAGAGGGAGGUGGAAUUUC